rnacentral:rRNA from 1 species
GACGAACGCUGGCGGCGUGCCUAACACAUGCAAGUCGAGCGGAGUUAGUGAGGAAGCUUGCUUUCGAGCUAACUUAGCGGCGGACGGGUGAGUAACACGUGGGUAACCUGCCUUUUACAGGGGGAUAACACCGGGAAACCGGUGCUAAUACCGCAUAAAAACUAUGGGGAGGCAUCUUCUGGUAGUCAAAGGAGCAAUCCGGUAAAAAGAUGGGCCCGCGUCCGAUUAGCUAGUUGGUGAGGUAACGGCUCACCAAGGCGACGAUCGGUAGCCGGACUGAGAGGUUGAACGGCCACAUUGGGACUGAGACACGGCCCAGACUCCUACGGGAGGCAGCAGUGGGGAAUAUUGCGCAAUGGGGGAAACCCUGACGCAGCGACGCCGCGUGAAGGAAGAAGGUCUUCGGGAUUGUAAACUUCUUUGGUCGGGGACGAAGAAAUGACGGUACCCGAUAAAAAAAGCCACGGCUAAACUAACGUG